UGUCGGCGACCAGCGCACGGGUGCGUAACGCGUAUGCAACCUACCCAUUACAGGGGGAUAACACUGAGAAAUCGGUACUAAUACCCCAUAACAUCCAGGGAGGCAUCUUCUUGGGUUGAAAACUCCGGUGGUAAUGGAUGGGCAUGCGUUGUAUUAGUUAGUUGGUGGGGUAACGGCUCACCAAGACAACGAUACAUAGGGGGACUGAGAGGUUAACCCCCCACAUUGGUACUGAGACACGGACCAAACUCCUACGGGAGGCAGCAG
rnacentral:rRNA from 1 species